ensembl:lncRNA
CCUCAGGGGGCAUUUCCUGGGGAGGAGGCCCAGGGGAGGUGGAGGAGGCCCUUGGGCAGGCUGGGACUGGCCAGGACACCACAGGGUUGCCAGGUGACAGACAACAGCGUGCCGAGCAGCUCCGGGGUGCACUGUGCCUCCUCCCAGGGAGGUUCCUCUCCGUGCCCCCCGGCCAUCACAGCGCAGGCAGCUGAGCCCGGCUGCAUCCCGCUUGGGACGUUCACUCUGAAGCGUAAUGAGGACCUUGAGCCUUCUGGAGCAGAGCUCUGCAACCCGGGGCACCCCAUCCCUGUCCCCCCCCCAGCAGCGCAGUGCUGGGACGUAUGGCAGAGCCUGCAGUGCCUCUCCUGACACUGUCGAUGUCCGUGGGACGGCCGUGACUCCCGCUGAGGGCAGAGCUCUGGCUGCAGAUCCCAGCUUGGGAGGCUCCAGAUUUGCUGCUCCCCACGCAAGGAUGGUGGAACGCGGAGCGUGGAGCUGCUGGGGGCCACAGUGGGGCAGCAGGAGCAGCUCCAGCUCUGUGUGCACCGAGGAUGUGGCUGCCAGGUGUUGGGAGGGCACAGUGGGGACCUCCGAGGAGGAGGAGGAGGAGGAGGAUGGCAGCGGGCAGGAUGGGGCCCCGCUCCUGUGGCAGUGCCCCUGGCAGGACAUGUCCCCAGGGCUGAUGAGGAGGGGGAGUCUGGAGUCGCUGGGAGCCAGGAUAUCCAGGCUGAGCCAGAGUGGGGCUGUGACCCCCUGCCCGGCCCCCUCCGGGCACCCAGCGCAGGGCAGGGGGGAUGCAUCCCACUGGGGCUCAAGCUCCAGGGCAAAGCCCUCAGUCACCACUGUGCAUGGUGGGGAUGGGGACGCUGGACAUCUCCGGAGACCCUCAGGCAGCUCAGCCAGCAGGAGCAGGGCCAGGGCCAUGGGACACUGCAGAUGGCAGGAGCCACCAGCACGCCGGGGGUGGCAUGGAGGGGACGUCACCCUCACUGCAGAGAAGGAAGGAGAUGGCGACGGGCGGAGGAGAGCUCUCUGCACCAAAGCAGCAGUGGGACCCACCAGGAGAUGCAGCCCCUGGGCAGAGGGGCAGCACGAGGUGUCCUGCCCAGGGCAUGCAGCCAAGCCCCGGUGGCAGCGUUGGAAGCAGAAGGCCAUCCUGUCCCAUAGGGGCACGUGCGUGGGAUUGUGUGGAUGUGGAGGAGGUGGUGAGCACUCUGAGAUGGGCAAAGGGGGGUGGCAGAGGGACAGGUUGGGGGGCAGCAGGGCAGGGGCUGGGCUGGCCAUGCCAUAAGAAGGGAGGAAGGAGUGGGAGGGAGGCGGAAGGGGGGUCCCUGUCUCAGCAGGGGCAGAAGGGCUGUGCUGAACGCCCAGGGAAGGUGAGGAGGAAAACGUUGGAUCUCAGAGAAGAGAAGAGGGAGCUGCAGGAGAGGCUCUGUGGGUUGGAGCUCCAGAUGCUCUCCAUGCUGCGGCAGAGGCAGGAGGCCCUGGGGCAGCUGCGGGCAGUGCUGCAGAAGGAGAGGAUGGCCACACUCAGGCAGCUGCAGGAGAGCCUGGAGAAGGUGAAUGGGACCAUCUGUGUCUGUCAGAACUGUCACCCAGAGGAGCUGGCAGCCCCAGGAGCCCUGAAGGAGCCACUGACCCCAGAGAGAGCCCUGCGGGAGGCAGCGACGUGUGUGUGGGAUCCAGCCCGGCCACCAUCUCCUUCCCCUUCUACACCUGGGUUGAGCCAUGCCACAGGUGCACAGAGAAGGGGUGAGCACCUGUGCCACCGCUCAGCCUCUUCCCUGCCCCCAAGCACUGUGCCCGGCCUCCAGCAGCAGCAGCAGCACACGGCGCUGGGGAUCCUGCACCACAUCCAGCGCUGCCUGCGGGAGCUGCAAGUAGAGGACCUCGGUGUGCUGGGAGCAGAGCUGGGCACCACAGCAAAUGAGGAGAGGUUCCUGAUGCCACCUCUUGACAUUCCUCCAAGCCCCAACAGGAACAAGCUCGCUGCUGCGACCAGGACUCGAGAUGAAGCAUGGAGGUGGUGAUGCAUCCCUCUACCUCCCUAUGCAUACCCAGGUCGACCAGUUGUGAAGCUGCUGAACGGGUCCCACGGAAUUUCCCAUGUAGAAGCUUCUCUUAGGUCCUGGCUGGGCUCCUUCCAAGGGCUGGGGACCGCGGGACAGCAUUUUGGGUGCGAUGGGUGAGGUCACGUGCCUCCACCAGGCUGCUGUCCAAGGUCCUGCCGGGAGAACCUGGAUUCCCUACCAGCAUCUUUGCUCCUCACACUCAUUUAGGAGCUUGGAAUGGAGAGGUCCAUGUUGCAGGGGUGGUCUCUCAGUGGGGUGGGAAUGAAGGUUUUGGGUUGGGGUGAGAUAUAGAGAAGUAGAUGGGGAGUAAGGGCUGGGGGAAAUCUCGUGCCUUCCCAGGUCUGGUUGGCUGGGCCACGCACAUCGGGAGUGCUUUGGGAUGGCUGUGGGCAGAAACACUUCAGGAAAAAAAGAAGUUUAAAAAUGAGGAAUUGUUCUACUUAGGAGCUCUCAAAUAAUUUUAAAGAGGAGAAACCUAUUUCUCAGUCUUCACACAUCUCAAUGGAGAAAAUGCUGUUUUUAAUUUGCAGGAGAAUGCCCAAGGAGAGUUUCUCUGCAUGCGAGGGGGGAAAUGAGAAUUUCAUGCAGUACUGAUUGCUGCACUUCCUUGCUGGAGGAGGCAGGGAGUGAAAAUGGAAAUCUUUGUCUGCUUUCUUCCCAAUCAAAAUAAAAAUGUUCCUCAUUAUAUUUUUCUGGACUGGGGAGAUUUCUGAAUUUACUUCUGAUGCACAGCUCUGUUUGUAAGCUCCCUUUAGGUAGUGGAAGGCCACAGUGAGGUCUUCCCAGGUCCUUCUCUUCACCAGGAUACCCAAAAAUGUGAUUUUUCUGCCUUACCUCAUGCUUGCAACCUUUGGGAUGCUGAUGCAACCUUGAAAUCACCCAGUGUAAUGCAAG